AACGAACGCUGGCGGCAGGCCUAACACAUGCAAGUCGAGCGGACCUUUCGGGGUCAGCGGCGGACGGGUGAGUAACGCGUGGGAAUAUGCCCUUCUCUACGGAAUAGUCCUGGGAAACUGGGGGUAAUACCGUAUACGCCCUUUGGGGGAAAGAUUUAUCGGGGAAGGAUUAGCCCGCGUUGGAUUAGGUAGUUGGUGGGGUAAUGGCCUACCAAGCCGCCGAUCCAUAGCUGGUUUGAGAGGAUGAUCAGCCACACUGGGACUGAGACACGGCCCAGAACCCCACGGGAGGCAGGCGUGGGGAAUCCUAGACCAUGGGGGGCACCCUUAUCUAGCCAUGGCCGGGGAGUUAAUAAGGCCUUAGGGUUUGAAAGCCCCUUCAGCCGGGAAGAUAAUGACGGUACCCGCAGAAGAAGCCCCGGCUAACUCCGUG
rnacentral:rRNA from 1 species